rnacentral:rRNA from 1 species
CCCUUAGACGUUCUGGGCCGCACGCGCGCUACACUGACCAGUGCAACAAGCAUCCGUCCUUGGCCGACAGGCUCGGGCAAUCUUUGAACGCUGGUCGUGAUGGGGAUAGACUUUAGCAAUUUUUGGUCUUCAACGAGGAAUUCCUAGUAAACGCAAGUCAUCAACUUGCAUUGAUUACGUCCCUGCCCUUUGUACACACCGCCCGUCGCACCUACCGAUUGAAUGGUCCGGUGAAGCCUCCGGAUUGGCGCGCACCUCGGUGCCGCCGAGAAGUUGGCUAAACCUUACCAUUUAGAGGAAGGUGAANUCGUAACA